AACGUAGGACACGAGCGUUAUCCGGAGUUACUGGGCGUAAAGGGCGGGUAGGUGGUGCGAUAAGACUGGUGUGAAAGCCUUCGGCUUAACCGAGGGAGGACACUGGUGACUGUCGGACUUGAGGCAGAUAGAGGGGUGUAGAAUUCCGGGUGUAGUGGUGAAAUGCGUAGAGAUCCGGAGGAACACCAGUGGCGAAGGCGACACGCUGGGCCGUACCUGACACUGAUGCGCGACAGCAUGGGGAGCAAACAGG
rnacentral:rRNA from 1 species